rnacentral:rRNA from 1 species
AACGCGAAGAACCUUACCUGGGUUUGAACUUCAGUGGCAAGGCUCAGAGAUGAGUCCCUCCCUUCGGGGAUCGCUGGAGAGGUGCUGCAUGGCUGUCGUCAGCUCGUGUCGUGAGAUGUUGGGUUAAGUCCCGCAACGAGCGCAACCCUUGUCCAUAGUUACUAACGGGUCAUGCCGAGAACUCUAUGGAGACUGCCGGUGAUAAACCGGAGGAAGGUGGGGAUGACGUCAAGUCCUCAUGGCCUUUAUGUCCAGGGCUACACACGUGCUACAAUGGACGGCACAAAGAGUCGCAAAACCGCGAGGUUGAGCUAAUCUCAAAAAACCGUUCUCAGUUCGGAUUGCAGUCUGCAACUCGACUGCAUGAAGCUGGAAUCGCUAGUAAUCGCGGAUCAGCACGCCGCGGUGAAUACGUUCCCGGGCCUUGUACACACCGCGAGC